UUUUUUUUUUUUUUUUUCCUCUCCCGCGUCACCGUUGGGCAAGACCCAGAGGCAGCUACACCCCCAUUCAAAGUGCAGUCAUCCUUAUAGAGUCCGGUGACUCAAUGGGGCCCCCUACCGGUGGAGACAGGCAGGGCCACGUCGUGGAGCUGAGGUCGGCCUUUCUCCCCUGCUUCAAGGACGGAUCUCAGCGACUUCCAGAUUUGCAAGAGGAACUCGGGAAAAAGCAGCUGAGUUUUCUGUGCAUCCUGUCCACCGCCCCCAAUUAUUAGUGACAGAGUGGGGAAUGAGUCACAACUUGCAGCCGGUGCCCACGCUGCAGCGAUUAAGCACAUAAUUGCUUCAAUGAUGAACCUUCCUCCAACUGCAGUCCCCCCCACCCCUGACCCCGGAGCUUUUGACUGUGAGCCUGCAGUCUCGGGGGCAGGAAUUGUGAGGGCCUGGCUUUAAAAAGACGAUGCCUCUUGGACCCGGAUUUAAAAUUCCUGCGUACAAGUCCUGAUGGGAGCCUGGGGGAGGUUUCAACUAGAAUUAAUAUCAUGAUCAAGUCAACAUAAAGUAGAUUGAUCUGCUGUUUCAAGGUACUGCGGCAAAGCCCUCUGUUUGGAGAACAAAUCACCAUAGCAACUCAGCCGCCCCAGUUACAGUAGGCUCAGGACGACCAAAAUAAAAAUCCUCACCAAAUCUCAGGAUUGGCUGAGAGCUGCUGUCAGACUUUCGGUUUCCAGCCGACAUUAGCCAGCACGCAUUAAUGUUUCCUAAAUCGCUGAAAGGGAUGCUUUAAAUAGUAAUAAAACUAUCCAGCCAGGUUAGAGAGGGGUUCUGCUCCCCCCGCCCCCCGCUUCUAGUUUAAACACGAGCAGAUCCCAUCGCCAAACAGCAGCAUUUGUCCUUAAAAUAGACCAGAAAAGGGCUCAUUGUUACUUAUCGUGGUUUGCUAGUUCCGUUCCAAGUUAGGGGUACAUAGCACAAUAAAUGCUGAUUUGUAAGAAGAGCCAAAUCAGUAUAACAGGUUUUCUGUAGGUGUGAAAGGAAAAAAAGGGAAAGCACUCUUUUCUCCCUCCAUCCCCAGGACCUCAGCCCUGGGUUUUGGUUCCAUUCAUUACCUGUUCUCUCUCCUGCAUCUUCCUUCUCUCACUGGGUCCUGGCGCCUUCCUUCUGAUCACCUUGGCCUAAGGCUUGCCCAGUCUCGCAAUCCUAAGGAUUCCUCGGUGCCUCAGUCUGGCGUGUGCCCCAGGCUCCCUGCAACCACCAUCCUGGACACCCAGAGCUCCCCUGCCGUGUUGCAAACUGAGGCCACCAGCGUUCCUGCUGCUCAACUCCUGACCCUGUGGGUCACUGCCUUGAAAUUCUCCCCUGCUUUUGAUUCUGGUGGCGGCAUGAUCCAGAAUCUUCUUUUUAGAAUGUAUCCUCUAUCAUCUCACCUCCUAAAUGUAGGCAUUUUCUAAAGUCCUGUUUCAUAUUUGCUCAUUUAUUUUUUGUCUUCAAUUCUCACUUCCCAGCAGAGGUCUGCCACCUCUUCGGUUGAGACUGCCUGACCAUGGCUCUCGCAAAACUCGAUCCUAAGUGAGCUGAGCCUUGCCUGCACAGUCUUUCUCCAGACUCUUUGUUUCUGUUAAUGGCUUCCUUGUCUCCUGAGGCUUCAAGGCGAGGUGUUAUUCAGAUUCUUCCUAGGCAUGUAAUUUCCUUGCCGCAUUCCCUAGACUGUCCUUUGAUGCUUCUUCAGUUUAUGUCCUUUCCAUUCCCAAAGCUAUACCAUCUGAGUUUUGGCCAAAACCACCUGUUGCUUAGAUUGUUAAUGACAGUUUCUGAAAUGGUCUUUUCACCUGCAGCCCUUCCCCCCAGGUAGCAAGGUAUGGUAGAAAGGAAGGCGGCUUUGGAGUUGGGGUCCCAUCUCUGCCCUUUAUGUCCACGGUGACUUUAAUUUCUUGAUCCCUCCGAGGCUUCAUCUCCUCAUCUGUAAAGCAGGUGUCAUCCCUCUUUCAGGGUGUGAGGAUUUAAUGGGGGUAACAUAUGUGAAAUAUCUAAGUGCUCAACCGAUCUUAGUUCCUUUCCAUUGCAAACUUACUACUGCCAGACCCAAGUCUUAAAACAGCCUUCUUGGUCACGUCCUUCCCUUACUCCAAUGUUCCUUUUUCUACUGAAAUAAGAACAAACUCCUCAAGCCUAGCACUUGGGAGACUCCUACACUAUGCCCCCCGUGUCUUGUUCCCACUCUGCUGUUCACGACUUUCUUGAAACACCAUUCUGUUUCCCAUCUGUUUCUUUGCUUGUGCUCUGUGCUUGGACGUCAGUGCAUCAUCUGCAUCUCUGUCUGAUGAAAUCCUAGCUGUGCUUUCAGUCUCAUCUUGAAUCCUACGUUCUCUUUGAGGCCAGCCCUGCCCCUAGCCCUGGAUAUGACUUCAUUCUCUGAGCCCUGCCGCACUGAUCCCUCUCUAGAGGUGUUUUUAAGACCUUACUUGCUCAUGUUCUUUGUUGGACUUCUCUUUGCUGCACGACUGAACGUCCUUGCUGGCGUGGACUGGUACAGCAUCAGAUCCAGAGGGGGCCCUCCGCCUUAUGCAAUAAAUGCCUUUUGCCAAAAACAAACCUGCCCAGUCACGCUUCCCUUGUUCUACUGAGCUUUCUUCUUCCCCCAGCUGCGGCUGGGUGUCACCCUUCCCAGAAACAAGCUGUUCAUGGGAGCAAACCUCUCCUCUCAUUGACACCAAAUUCUGGAGGUCCUAAUUAAAAGUGUCCCCAAAUAUCAUCUCAGAUAUACCCUGUCACCGUUUCAUCAGACCCUGUUUAUUCACUAUUUUCAUGAAUCCUAGGAAAUUCCCUUGUUUAAACCACAAGUUGAUUUUGUUUACCUGCCUCCCAGGCCCUCGGGGAGCACUGUUCUUUUGAUGCAGAAAUAUCUUCAUGCAAAAGGAUCCUUCGGAAUAUCUGAAAUUCCUCUUCUUUCUCACCCACGAAUCAGUCUCUUUAACAGUGACAGUCAAUACUACACAGAAAAGGAACUCAGAUUAGGGAUCCAGGGGAGAUCUGUUUGUAAACAGAAUGAGAAACAGGGGUCCACUGAGCCGGUUCUAUAGUGUGUCUGUAGUUCUUAACUAUUUGAUCAAUUUAUAGUUUUUAAUAGUAAUGUCCUAGAACCAAAGUACAUUUCUUCACUAUAUAUGUAUAUACACAUGAAUAUUAUCUACCUUCUAGUUUACAAGGUUUCAUUUUAGGAUGAAUGAGGCUGGAAAUAUGGUUUCAUCAUUAUAUGGAGCUCACGUUGGCCAUACCAUUUGCCAAGUACAAUUUUCAAAAGGUUAACAACAUGACUCUUAUACAAAGAGAAAAGCAACAGAAGUCAAAGAUUUUAUUCAGUUCGACCAAUGAGGAAACCAGUAAGAUGUUAAGACUGAUUCAAGAGAAAAUCAGGGACCUGGAGAGUUAUAGUUGGUCAAAGGAAUGCAGAUAUAAAUUUGCUGGUAAAUGCAAAACUGGUUAAUGCCUCACUGGGUUAUAAUCUUUGGGAUGGUGUUGGGCAAGAGUCAUUGGUAAUGCUAUCAGUUUUCUGCAAGGUUACCUAUAUUCUCAUAAGCUUGCGAUAUAGCCUUCCUAAUCAUCAGCAAAAGGUUUGCAGCCUCAGAAAAUGAGAUAAUCCCUGGGCAGCAGAGGCCACUAGACACCAUCCAGGUCUACAGAGGAAGUGUACUCAGUAUUAGCUUCGACCUAUUUCCAAGUUAUGCAUAAUUGCUCUGGAUGCUCUUCUCUGAGAGGCAUGGAAACAAUCCAGUCGGUGUUUUCUAUGACAUAGUGGUGAUUAGAUUUACAGAAGGGGACACAAAGCAGGGUCUCCCACUCUCCACCAGCCCUCCCCACUCCUCUCCUUUGCUCCAGUUUCAUCAUGGGCUCUGGAGUCAGACUGCUUGAGUUCGAAUCAUGGUUCCACCACAUACUACUGGGUGAGCUUGGAAAAAUUACUUAACCUCUCUGUGCCUCGGUCUCAUUAUUAUAAAAGAGGAUUUUAAGUAAUGGAACCAUUAGGGCUUUGCCAUGAGGAUUAAAUUAGGUAAAGUGCAAGUGCUAAUAAAUGUGAGUUAUAUUACUACUGAGUAAGGGUUCAUUAUUUUACCAAAGUAGUCAGGCAUUAAAACAUUUUGAGGAGUUCCCUGGUGGCCCAGCGGUUGAGGACUUGGCAUUAUUACUGCUUGUGGCUCGGGUUGGAUGCCUGGC
rnacentral:lncRNA from 1 species